AUUGAACGCUGGCGGCAGGCUUAACACAUGCAAGUCGAGCGGGGAAGGGUAGCUUGCUACCUAACCUAGCGGCGGACGGGUGAGUAAUGCUUAGGAAUCUGCCAUUUAGUGGGGGACAACAUUCCGAAAGGAAUGCUAAUACCGCAUACGUCCUACGGGAGAAAGCAGGGGAUCUUCGGACCUUGCGCUAAAUGAUGAGCCUAAGUCGAAUUAGCUAGUUGGUGGGGUAAAGGCCUACCAAGGCGACGAUCUGUAGCGGGUCUGAGAGGAUGUACCGCCACACUGGGACUGAGACACGGCCCAGACUCCUACGGGAGGCAGCAGUGGGGAAUAUUGGACAAUGGGCGGAAGCCUGAUCUAGCCAUGCCGCGUGUGUGAAGAAGGCCUUAUGGUUGUAAAGCACUUUAAGCGAGGAGGAGGCUACUUAGAUUAAUACUCUAGGAUAGUGGACGUUACUCGCAGAAUAAGCACCGGCUAACUCUGUGCCAGCCGCCGCCGUAA
rnacentral:rRNA from 1 species